AGUGGCAGACGGGUGAGUAACGCGUGGGAAUCUACCCAGUACUACGGAACAACACAGAGAAAUUUGUGCUAAUACCGUAUACGCCCUCCGGGGGAAAGAUUUAUCGGUAUUGGAUGAGCCCGCGUUUGAUUAGCUAGUUGGUGAGGUAACGGCUCACCAAGGCGACGAUCAAUAGCUGGUCUGAGAGGACGAUCAGCCACACUGGGACUGAGACACGGCCCAGACUCCUACGGGAGGCAGCAGUGGGGAAUAUUGGACAAUGGGCGCAAGCCUGAUCCAGCCAUGCCGCGUGUGUGAUGAAGGCCCUAGGGUUGUAAAGCACUUUCAACGGUGAAGAUAAUGACGGUAACCGUAGAAGAAGCUCCGGCUAACUUCGUGCCAGCAGCCGCGGUAAUACGAAGGGAGCUAGCGU
rnacentral:rRNA from 1 species